rnacentral:rRNA from 1 species
GACGAACGCUGGCGGCGUGCUUAACACAUGCAAGUCGAACGGAAAGGCCCUGCUUUUGUGGGGUGCUCGAGUGGCGAACGGGUGAGUAACACGUGAGUAACCUGCCCUUGACUUUGGGAUAACUUCAGGAAACUGGGGCUAAUACCGGAUAGGAGCUCCUGCUGCAUGGUGGGGGUUGGAAAGUUUCGGCGGUUGGGGAUUGACUCGCGGCUUAUCAGCUUGUUGGUGGGGUAGUGGCUUACCAAGGCUUUGAGGGGUACCGGGCCUGGGAGGGUGACCGGCCACAUUGGGACUGAGAUACGGCCCAGACUCCUACGGGAGGCAGCAGUGGGGAAUAUUGCACAAUGGGCGGAAGCCUGAUGCAGCAACGCCGCGUGCGGGAUGACGGCCUUCGGGUUGUAAACCGCUUUCGCCUGUGACGAAGCGUGAGUGACGGUAAUGGGUAAAGAAGCCCCGGCUAACUACGUG